ensembl:misc_RNA Metazoa_SRP Metazoan signal recognition particle RNA
GCCGGGCGCAGUGGCCCACGCCUGUAAUCCCAGCACUUUGGGAGGCUGAGGCAGGAGGAUCACCUGAGGUCAGGAGUUUGAGACCAGCCUGACCAACAUGGUGAAACCCCGUCUCUA